rnacentral:misc_RNA from 1 species
GAUGAAGAACGUAGCGAAAUGCGAUACGUAAUGUGAAUUGCAGAAUUCAGUGAAUCAUCGAAUCUUUGAACGCAUAUUGCGCUCUCUGGUAUUCCGGAGAGCAUGCUUGUUUGAGUAUCAGUAAACACCUCAACUUCCAUAUCUUUUUUGAAAUGGGAGUUGGACUUGAGUGAUCCCAACGCUUUUCCUCACCGAAAAGUGGCGGGUUACUUGAAAUGCAGGUGCAGCUGGACUUUUCUCUGAGCUAUAAGCAUAUCUAUUUAGUCUGCCUAAAAAACAGAUUAUUACCUUUGCUGCAGCUAACAUAAAGGAGAUUAGUUCUUGUGCUGACUGAUGCAGGAUUCACAAAGACGGCUUCGACCGACUUUGUAAACUCGAUCUCAAAUCAAGUAAGACUACCCGCUGAACUUAAGCAUAUCAAUAAGCGGAGGA